GAAGCAUCUGCUUCAAAUGUACAUGUAGGAACCGACGUUGAUACUGCUACCAAUAUAUCUGUACCAGACAACAAUGAAGUGCAUCUACAUGAUCACGAGUAUACAGCACCAAGUCCUUAACAUUUAAAAAGCUUCCCUUCAAGACUUGGAUGUUGUAAACUUGCAGUGAGAAAUAUACCUGCUUAAUUAAAAGAAACCAUCCAUGAUAACUAGUGGAGUUUUACGAAGAGGCUAACUUUUACAAUCGAUGGCUGACUUUUACAAUUUAAAGGGAUCAACUCCAACUACAGAAAUUGGACCGAAAUGAAUAUACAGACUGCUUUAGUAAAACACCAAAAACCG